AACGAACGCUGGCGGCAUGCCUAACACAUGCAAGUCGAACGAGACCUUCGGGUCUAGUGGCGCACGGGUGCGUAACGCGUGGGAACCUGCCCUUAGGUUCGGACUAACUCCCCGAAAGGGGUGCUAAUACCGGAUAAUGUCUUCGGACCCAUGAUUUAUCGCCUUGGGAUGGGCCCGCGUUGGAUUAGCUAGUUGGUAGGGUAAAAGCCUACCAAGGCGACGAUCCAUAGCUGGUCUGAGAGGAUGACCAGCCACACUGGGACUGAGACACGGCCCAGACUCCUACGGGAGGCAGCAGUGGGGAAUAUUGGACGAUGGGCGAAAGCCUGAUCCAGCAAUGCCGCGUGAGUGAUGAAGGCCUCAGGGUUGUAAAGCUCUUUUACCCGGGAUGAUAAUGACAGUACCGGGAGAAUAAGCGCCGGCUAACUCCGUG
rnacentral:rRNA from 1 species